rnacentral:rRNA from 1 species
UACAGAGGGUGCAAGCGUUGCUCGGAUUUACUGGGCGUAAAGCGUACGCAGACGGUAAGGAAGGUCGGAUGUGAAAGCCCCGGGCUCAACCCUGGAACUGCAUCCGAAACCCCCUUGCUAGAGUAUGGGAGAGGGAAGCGGAAUUCCUGGUGUAGAGGUGAAAUUCGUAGAUAUCAGGAGGAACACCGGCGGCGAAGGCGGCUUCCUGGCCCAUUACUGACGUUCAGGUACGAAAG